UACGUAGGGGGCGAGCGUUGUCCGGAAUUACUGGGCGUAAAGGGUGCGUAGGUGGCCUUUUAAGUUGGAUGUGAAAUACCCGGGCUUAACUUGGGGGGUGCAUCUAAUACUGGAGGGCUAGAGUGCAGGAGAGGAAAGCGGAAUUCCUAGUGUAGCGGUGAGAUGCGUAGAUAUUAGGAGGAACACCAGUGGCGAAGGCGGCUUUCUGGACUGUAACUGACACUGAGGCACGAAAGCGUGGGGAGCAAACAGG
rnacentral:rRNA from 1 species